GGAGCUGGCCAGACAGUCGCCGCCGGAACGUUCGCGUUCCGGGGGAGGAAAGUCCGGGCUCCAUAGGGCAGGGUGCCAGGUAACGCCUGGGCGGCGCGAGCCGACGGAAAGUGCAGCAGAGAGUAGACCGCCUAAGCAGCGCAAGCUGCCGGCAAGGGUGAAAGGGUGCGGUAAGAGCGCACCGCGCGCCUGGCAACAGUGCGUGGCACGGUAAACCCCACCCGGAGCAAGACCGAAUAGGCCCCCGACGCUGUGGCCCGCAGUGGGGGCGGGUAGGUUGCUGGAGCCCAGUGGUGACGCUGGGCCUAGAUGAAUGGCUGUCCUCGACAGAACCCGGCUUAUCGGCCGGCUCCCAUC
rfam:Halomonadaceae bacterium T82-2 scaffold_5, whole genome shotgun sequence.